UGGAGCUUGGGGAGGCCAGAGGUGGUGAGGGCGACGCAUCUUUGGUUGGGCUGCGGCCCUCUAUGCUUUUCCCUGCCGGUGCUCGCACUAGGAAGAAGGAGGCUUUGUCCGCUUUAGAAAGCUUACUCUUACUUCUCUGCAACCUGAGGAAGGUGAGUGUGUGCUUUUGUAGCUUUAGAAUGCUCGGAAUUCCGGUUAUUUUGUCUCCUUAAGAAACGAGCCACAGGAGCUUCCCAUAUGUGCGGCCAGUCAGUUCAAGCUCCAAUCCACGCCCCAUCUAUCAAGCUGUUUUUUUUAAGAGGUUUGACAUAAUCUAAAGGAUUUCCCAGCACUAAAAACCCAUCUUCUUAACUUGAUCUGAGCCAGUGAGGAGUUCUCAUGUAUUAUUGUUAGUUCAAGUUCUUCCAUGAUGUAGAGGAUAACUGGGCAAAGGUAAGGGAUAACUGGGCAAAGUUCUUCUGAAAGGUUGCUUUACCUUUGGGCAGCAAUAUGAGAAAUGACUCCAUACAAUUUGUCUCCAUGCAAUCCCAAUCAUUUUGAAGAAAACUGUAGACACUGUAGUGUUCAUGGUAUAAAACACUCUGGAACGGACUGACUUUAUGUUCACAGAAGUUUUUGCAAGUUUCUCACUAGUUCCAACCUGUAAAUGGUGACAAAGCUAUCUAAAGGACCUAACGUUGUGUUCCAAUUAAAUGCUUAAAAGUUGGUCCUUGGCAGCAGGCUCGUAUUCACUGUUUGUUGAUUGUUCUCCAAAGAGCACUCAUUGCACCACUGAUGCUUUCUCAGCUUCCUAAUUUUUGUCAUAAACUGUAGUAGUUAUGAUGUUUGGUAAAUUACACUUAAUUUGAAUAGCAGCACAAUUUUGCAAUUAACAUCAUGAAAUGUGAAAACAUGACCGCCAUGAAAGACAUAACGCCUAUGUCUUUUGAGGACUCUACUCUAACAUAUAUUCUUUUUAAAUCAAGAUCUCACUAGAGCUACUCAACUUUGGAGAAAGUCCUAUGGACCUGUUACUAACCAACUGCGUUCACUAGAACUGUCCUACAGAUGGGGGAGGGAGGGAGUGGCUGAUGGUCAUCCACUCUAUGACUACACCCAUCCUCAAAUUGAUGUGAGAUACAUCACCUUUCCUAUUAAAACUGGGCCUUAUUCUUCCGAAUGCAAGGUCCCCAGAGAACUCUUAGGAUCCUACCACUAUCAUCCCCUUUGUUCCAAGGGUCGAAGGCUUGUAAGCAACAGUAGUUACAUAGUUACAUAGCUCAAGUUCAGCCUUCCUCACAUUUCUAUUUUGCUGUUGAUCCAAAAGAAGGUUUGAAGCACUUCCUAUUUUGCAACAAACUAGGAAAAAAAAUUCCUUCUUGACCCCAGAAUGGCAGUCAGAUUUAUCCUUGAAUCAAGCAGCUAUUACCCUACAUUGAAAAAUUAUAUCCUUGAAUAUUGUUUUUGCAAGUAUGCAUUUAGUUGCUGUUUGAACAUCUGUAUGGACUCUGAUAAAAUCACUUCUUUAGGCAGAGAAUUCCACAUCCUUACAGUAAAAAAAACUUUCCUUUUGCCUUAGACAAAAUCUUCUUUCUUCCAGUCUAAACGCACGACCUUGUGUCCUAUGUAAAGUCCGGUUUGUGAAUAGAUUUCCACACAAUGGUUUUUAUUGGCCCUGAAUGUAUUUGUAUAAUGUCAUCAUAUCCCCUCUCAGGCGCCGUUUUUCUAAACUAAAGUGGUUUAAAUUUGUUAACCUUUCUUCAUAGCUGAUAUACUCCAUUCCUUUUAUUAAUUUUGUAUCCCACCUCUGCACUUUUUCUAGUGCCAUAUUAUCCUUCAUUAGAACAGGUGCCCAAAAUUGCACAGCAUAUUCAAUAUGUGGUCUUACCAGUGAUUUAUAAAGAGGCAAAAUGAUAUUCUCAUCCCGAGAAUGAUUGCCCUUUUUCAUGCAUGACAAUACCUUACUGGCCUUAGCCACUGCUGAUUUACAUUGCACAUUGUUGCAUAGUUUGUUGUCUAUAACAAUCCCCAAGUCCUUU